GAAAAUUCCAGUCUAUCCGCGUAAUGUACGUUGGCUGUGCUAAGAGGUUGCAAAAAAUUAGUCACCAAUGACUGGUAACUUUGCUCAAGGAUUGGGUUAGAUUAGGUUAUCUGAACCUGGCAAAGACAAGAGGACUAUCUGCCUAAGAGGAAGGAUGCCUUUAUGGAGGACUUUCUGUGGGAAACUAGCUCAUAUUCACAUUACACGUAUAGAAAACCACAAACACUAACUAUGCAGCCAGCCCAUACACCUGGCUGUUAAUCCAAGCCAGGAUGAACUACCAGUAUUCAGUAGUUUUAACCACUCAGCUCCUGGUUAAGGUAUAAUAAAAAAAAAGUGGCUUGUAUUCAUAUCAGGAAUAUGGAAACUGAUAUGAAAUAUGAGCCAUAUUUAUAUCAGAAAUUAUGGAAACCUCUUGCAGCCAACUGGUUCAUUCGAUGGGAAUUGAACCUAGGCUGAACUACCAGUGUUAAGAGAUUUUAUCUACUUAGAAAAUUAAAAAUAAUUAAAAUAUAGCUUUUAGAAAUAACUAAAUACAAUUUGUUAGGGUUGCAGCUUGAUGGAGGAAUUAGAGGAAAAAAACAAUUUUAAAUUACUAUUUUCUAUAAAAUAACUGCAAUAUUCAUAUGCCUAUUGAUCCAGAGAACAGAAAUUGGAAUUUUUCAAUGAAGAAUUUUACUAAGAGUUGUGCGUGGCUACAGAACAAUUAGCUAUGAAGCCUGUUUCGCAAUUUCAGGAUUUCCUCCGAUUGACCUUCAUGUUUUAAAUGACAAAAAGUUUAAAGAUACCAUCAGCAAAUUUAUGUUCAAUACCAAGGUGUUUCAAGAUCUUCCUCAUUCUGCCAAUCAUUUACCAAUUCAAACUAUCAUUUAU